GUGGGGAAUCUUGCGCAAUGGGCGAAAGCCUGACGCAGCCAUGCCGCGUGAAUGAUGAAGGUCUUAGGAUUGUAAAAUUCUUUCACCGGGGACGAUAAUGACGGUACCCGGAGAAGAAGCUCCGGCUAACUUCGUGCCAGCAGCCGCGGUAAUACGAAGGGGGCUAGCGUUGCUCGGAAUUACUGGGCGUAAAGGGCGCGUAGGCGGACAGCUUAGUCAGAGGUGAAAGCCCAGGGCUCAACCUUGGAAUUGCCUUUGAUACUGGCUGUCUUGAGUUUGGGAGAGGUGAGUGGAACUCCGAGUGUAGAGGUGAAAUUCGUAGAUAUUCGGAAGAACACCAGUGGCGAAGGCGACUCACUGGCCCGUUACUGACGCUGAGGCGCGAAAGCGUGGGGAGCAAACAGGAUUAGAAACCCUAGUAGUCC
rnacentral:rRNA from 1 species